rnacentral:tRNA from 1 species
GCGCUGUUAGCUCAGUCGGCAGAGCAGUGGCCUUUUAAGCCAAUGGUCGGGGGUUCGAUUCCCUCACAGCGCACCA